rnacentral:rRNA from 1 species
GACGAACGCUGGCGGCGCGCUUAACACAUGCAAGUCGAACGGGAAGGCCUGCUUUCCCUUGUGGAUUGCGGGUACUCGAGUGGCGAACGGGUGAGUAACACGUGAGUGAUCUGCCCCCAACUUGGGUAUAAGCCUGGGAAACUGGGUCUAAUUCCCGAUAGGACUGCAGGGUGGUGCCUGUGGUGGAAAACGAUUUUCUAGUGGUUGGGGAUGAGCUCGCGGCCUAUCAGCUUGUUGGUGGGGUAAUGGCCUACCAAGGCGGCGACGGGUAGCCGGCCUGAGAGGGUGGACGGCCACAUUGGGACUGAGAUACGGCCCAGACUCCUACGGGAGGCAGCAGUGGGGAAUAUUGCACAAGGGGCGGAAGCCUGAUGCAGCGACGCCGCGUGGGGGAUGACGGCCUUCGGGUUGUAAACUCCUUUCGACCGCGAGGAAGCCACCUGGUUGGAAGGGUGGUGACGGUAGUGGUAGAAGAAGCACCGGCUAACUACGUG